rnacentral:misc_RNA from 1 species
GCAGGUGCUUAUUGUUGCAUCAAGUCUUCCACUCUAUAUUGUCUUCUUUCUCUAUAUUUCUUCCUAGUUAUCAUGCUGGAAUAUUUUGAUGUGUUGUUUUCAUGUGUUGCCUUGCAAUUAAGAACUUAUGAUGAAAAGUACCAUUUCACCUUUAGAGAAACAUAGGAUUGUCUGAUAAACAAACCAUGCUGACCUGCCUUAUGGUUAUCAACAGAUCAUGAACAAUGAUCUGUAAAAUGGCAUUAUGAAAUCUGAAAUUGUAAGCAUUUAAGAUUUGUCAACCAUAAGUUUCCAAUGUGCUCAGGUAACAGUAUUUUGUCAUUUGUUGCAGCAGAAUAUCUUGUGCACUGAAAAUUUAAUUGUUGUCAAUUUGUUAUUGAUGUGAUUUUGGGCCAUUUUCAUUUCUUUUUCUGCAAUGGUUGAAGACCGACCAGUUGAUGGGUCCACUGAAUGUGAGGGCAGCACUGCAGAUCAAGUCCAAGAUGCUGCUCAAGAACAAACCCAAGCCACUUCUCCAGUGCAGCGCAAUAAGCAGAAGGAAAUCAAAGCAAAACCACAAACAUGCAAAGAACACAAGAGUAAAAUUCUGUCUAAGAGGCAAAGCCUUGC